GACGAACGCUGGCGGCGUGCUUAACACAUGCAAGUCGAACGGUGAAGCUCCAGCUUGCUGGAGUGGAUCAGUGGCGAACGGGUGAGUAACACGUGAGCAACCUGCCCCUGACUCUGGAAUAAGCGCUGGAAACGGCGUCUAAUACUGGAUACGAGAAGGGUCCGCAUGGGCACUUUCUGGAAAGUUUUUCGGUUGGGGAUGGGCUCGCGGCCUAUCAGCUUGUUGGUGAGGUAAUGGCUCACCAAGGCGACGACGGGUAGCCGGCCUGAGAGGGCGACCGGCCACACUGGGACUGAGACACGGCCCAGACUCCUACGGGAGGCAGCAGUGGGGAAUAUUGCACAAUGGGCGAAAGCCUGAUGCAGCGACGCCGCGUGAGGGAUGACGGCCUUCGGGUUGUAAACCUCUUUCAGCAGGGAAGAAGCGAAAGUGGCGGUACCUGCAGAAGAAGCACCGGCUAACUACGUG
rnacentral:rRNA from 1 species